GCGGGGGAUAACUAUUGGAAACGAUAGCUAAUACCGCAUAACAGUCGACAUUGCAUGAUGUUGAUUUGAAAGGGGCAACUGCUCCACUACCAGAUGGACCUGCGUUGUAUUAGCUAGUUGGUGAGGUAACGGCUCACCAAGGCGACGAUACAUAGCCGACCUGAGAGGGUGAUCGGCCACACUGGGACUGAGACACGGCCCAG
rnacentral:rRNA from 1 species